GACGAACGCUGGCGGCGUGCCUAACACAUGCAAGUUGAGCGACGAACCAGGGCUUGCCCUGGGGCAAAGCAGCGAACGGGUGAGUAACACGUGGGUAACCUACCCCGAUAACCGGGACAACCCGAGGAAACUCGGGCUAAUACCGGAUGUGCUCACUGGACUUCGGUUCAGUGCGUAAAGGAAGCUUCGGCCUCCGUAUCGGGAGGGGCCCGCGGCCCAUUAGUUUGUUGGUGAGGUAACGGCUCACCAAGACCGCGAUGGGUAGCUGGUCUGAGAGGACGACCAGCACCACGGGGGGGGGGACAGGGCCCAGGCCCCUAGGGGGGGCAGGAGGGGGGAAUUUUGGGCAAGGCGCGAAAGGGGGCCGAAGAAACGCCGGGGGGGGGAAAAAGGCCUGCGGGUUGAAAACCCUUUUCAGGGGGGACGAAGGUUCGGGGGUAAAUAGCCGGCCGGACUGACGGAACCUCCAAAAGAAGCCCCGGCAAACUACGG
rnacentral:rRNA from 1 species